GUAGGUGGCAAGCGUUGUCCGGAAUUAUUGGGCGUAAAGCGCGCGCAGGCGGUUCUUUAAGUCUGAUGUGAAAGCCCACGGCUCAACCGUGGAGGGUCAUUGGAAACUGGAGAACUUGAGUACAGAAGAGGAAAGCGGAAUUCCACGUGUAGCGGUGAAAUGCGUAGAGAUGUGGAGGAACACCAGUGGCGAAGGCGGCUUUCUGGUCUGUAACUGACGCUGAGGCGCGAAAGCGUGGGGAGCAAACAGGAUUAGAUACCCUGGUAGUCCACGCCGUAAACGAUGAGUGCUAAGUGUUAGGGGGGUUUCCGCCCCCCUUAGUGCUGCAGCUAACGCAUUAAGCACUCCGCCUGGGAGUAGGGCCGCAAGGCUA
rnacentral:rRNA from 1 species